rnacentral:tRNA from 1 species
GAGGGUAUAGCUCAGUGGUAGAGUGAUAGCUUAGCAUACAUAAGGUCCUGGGUUCAAUCCCCAGUACCUCCA